AAGCCAUGCAUGUCUAAGUAUAAGCAAUCUAUACCGUGAAACUGCGAAUGGCUCAUUAAAUCAGUUAUCGUUUAUUUGAUAGUACCUUACUACUUGGAUAACCGUGGUAAUUCUAGAGCUAAUACAUGCUAAAAACCUCGACUUCGGAAGGGGUGUAUUUAUUAGAUAAAAAACCAAUGCCCUUCGGGGCUCCUUGGUGAUUCAUAAUAACUUAACGAAUCGCAUGGCCUUGUGCCGGCGAUGGUUCAUUCAAAUUUCUGCCCUAUCAACUUUCGAUUGUAGAGUAGUGGUCUACAAUGGUUU
rnacentral:rRNA from 1 species